rfam:Schistosoma margrebowiei strain Zambia genome assembly, scaffold: SMRZ_scaffold0001418
AUACAGCUGACGAGUCCCAAAUAGGACGAAAAGCGCGUCCAUGAU